UUGGUACGAACUGUGUCCUCUAUCCACAGGGUAUCGUUCCCCCGCUCUCUAUCCUACUCUUUACGCAUCUCAGCUGCCGAAAAAGCCUACCACCAGCGUCGUCUUUCUCCUGCACUUAUCCUUCUUCCUCUCCUCCUUCGGUCCAUGACCCAAGCCUUCUCUUGCCUUCAAGUUUCUGACACACCAGGAAAUUAAAUAAGAGGAUAAACCAAAGAUGCCUCACAGAACACGUCCUAUGACAGCUCUAUUAAUGUUCACUGGCCUCAACGCUGUGCUGGUCUCAACCAUUACUCCUGUCUAUGAUUUUGUCUGCUUCCUUCCUUACUGGGAGAGACGGAGAGAACGGCGUUGUUUAGAACGGGAAGCUUCAUCAAAUAAAUUUAAAUCAUCCUGAAAGAUACUUCAUCAAAUAAAUUUCAGUCAUCAUGAAGAGUGGCUUUAGCCUUAAUCGUGUUUGUACUGGAAGUUGAAUUUCAAAGCCUAUUUGUUUGAAAUGACUUGAUCAAUUAUCCAUUAAUAUUUCACG